rnacentral:rRNA from 1 species
GGUUAAGCGACUAAGCGUACACGGUGGAUGCCCUGGCAGUCAGAGGCGAUGAAGGACGUGCUAAUCUGCGAUAAGCGUCGGUGAGGUGAUAUGAACCGUUAUAACCGGCGAUUUCCGAAUGGGGAAACCCAGUGUGUUUCGACACACUAUCAUUAACUGAAUCCAUAGGUUAAUGAGGCGAACCGGGGGAACUGAAACAUCUAAGUACCCCGAGGAAAAGAAAUCAACCGAGAUUCCCCCAGUAGCGGCGAGCGAACGGGGAGGAGCCCAGAGCCUGAAUCAGUGUGUGUGUUAGUGGAAGCGUCUGGAAAGGCGCGCGAUACAGGGUGACAGCCCCGUACACAAAAAUGCACAUGCUGUGAGCUCGAUGAGUAGGGCGGGACACGUGGUAUCCUGUCUGAAUAUGGGGGACCAUCCUCCAAGGCUAAAUACUCCUGACUGACCGAUAGUGAACCAGUACCGUGAGGGAAAGGCGAAAAGAACCCCGGCGAGGGGAGUGAAAAAGAACCUGAAACCGUGUACGUACAAGCAGUGGGAGCCUCUUAAUGGGGUGACUGCGUACCUUUUGUAUAAUGGGUCAGCGACUUAUAUUCUGUAGCAAGGUUAACCGAAUAGGGGAGCCGAAGGGAAACCGAGUCUUAACUGGGCGUUAAGUUGCAGGGUAUAGACCCGAAACCCGGUGAUCUAGCCAUGGGCAGGUUGAAGGUUGGGUAACACUAACUGGAGGACCGAACCGACUAAUGUUGAAAAAUUAGCGGAUGACUUGUGGCUGGGGGUGAAAGGCCAAUCAAACCGGGAGAUAGCUGGUUCUCCCCGAAAGCUAUUUAGGUAGCGCCUCGUGAAUUCAUCUCCGGGGGUAGAGCACUGUUUCGGCAAGGGGGUCAUCCCGACUUACCAACCCGAUGCAAACUGCGAAUACCGGAGAAUGUUAUCACGGGAGACACACGGCGGGUGCUAACGUCCGUCGUGAAGAGGGAAACAACCCAGACCGCCAGCUAAGGUCCCAAAGUCAUGGUUAAGUGGGAAACGAUGUGGGAAGGCCCAGACAGCCAGGAUGUUGGCUUAGAAGCAGCCAUCAUUUAAAGAAAGCGUAAUAGCUCACUGGUCGAGUCGGCCUGCGCGGAAGAUGUAACGGGGCUAAACCAUGCACCGAAGCUGCGGCAGCGACACUAUGUGUUGUUGGGUAGGGGAGCGUUCUGUAAGCCUGUGAAGGUGGCCUGUGAGGGUUGCUGGAGGUAUCAGAAGUGCGAAUGCUGACAUAAGUAACGAUAAAGCGGGUGAAAAGCCCGCUCGCCGGAAGACCAAGGGUUCCUGUCCAACGUUAAUCGGGGCAGGGUGAGUCGACCCCUAAGGCGAGGCCGAAAGGCGUAGUCGAUGGGAAACAGGUUAAUAUUCCUGUACUUGGUGUUACUGCGAAGGGGGACGGAGAAGGCUAUGUUGGCCGGGCGACGGUUGUCCCGGUUUAAGCGUGUAGGCUGGUUUUCCAGGCAAAUCCGGAAAACCAAGGCUGAGGCGUGAUGACGAGGCACUACGGUGCUGAAGCGACAAAUGCCCUGCUUCCAGGAAAAGCCUCUAAGCAUCAGGUAACAUCAAAUCGUACCCCAAACCGACACAGGUGGUCAGGUAGAGAAUACCAAGGCGCUUGAGAGAACUCGGGUGAAGGAACUAGGCAAAAUGGUGCCGUAACUUCGGGAGAAGGCACGCUGAUAUGUAGGUGAAGCGACUUGCUCGUGGAGCUGAAAUCAGUCGAAGAUACCAGCUGGCUGCAACUGUUUAUUAAAAACACAGCACUGUGCAAACACGAAAGUGGACGUAUACGGUGUGACGCCUGCCCGGUGCCGGAAGGUUAAUUGAUGGGGUUAGCGGUAACGCGAAGCUCUUGAUCGAAGCCCCGGUAAACGGCGGCCGUAACUAUAACGGUCCUAAGGUAGCGAAAUUCCUUGUCGGGUAAGUUCCGACCUGCACGAAUGGCGUAAUGAUGGCCAGGCUGUCUCCACCCGAGACUCAGUGAAAUUGAACUCGCUGUGAAGAUGCAGUGUACCCGCGGCAAGACGGAAAGACCCCGUGAACCUUUACUAUAGCUUGACACUGAACAUUGAGCCUUGAUGUGUAGGAUAGGUGGGAGGCUUUGAAGUGUGGACGCCAGUCUGCAUGGAGCCGACCUUGAAAUACCACCCUUUAAUGUUUGAUGUUCUAACGUUGGCCCGUAAUCCGGGUUGCGGACAGUGUCUGGUGGGUAGUUUGACUGGGGCGGUCUCCUCCUAAAGAGUAACGGAGGAGCACGAAGGUUGGCUAAUCCUGGUCGGACAUCAGGAGGUUAGUGCAAUGGCAUAAGCCAGCUUGACUGCGAGCGUGACGGCGCGAGCAGGUGCGAAAGCAGGUCAUAGUGAUCCGGUGGUUCUGAAUGGAAGGGCCAUCGCUCAACGGAUAAAAGGUACUCCGGGGAUAACAGGCUGAUACCGCCCAAGAGUUCAUAUCGACGGCGGUGUUUGGCACCUCGAUGUCGGCUCAUCACAUCCUGGGGCUGAAGUAGGUCCCAAGGGUAUGGCUGUUCGCCAUUUAAAGUGGUACGCGAGCUGGGUUUAGAACGUCGUGAGACAGUUCGGUCCCUAUCUGCCGUGGGCGCUGGAGAACUGAGGGGGGCUGCUCCUAGUACGAGAGGACCGGAGUGGACGCAUCACUGGUGUUCGGGUUGUCAUGCCAAUGGCACUGCCCGGUAGCUAAAUGCGGAAGAGAUAAGUGCUGAAAGCAUCUAAGCACGAAACUUGCCCCGAGAUGAGUUCUCCCUGAGACUUAGAGUCUCCUGAAGGAACGUUGAAGACGACGACGUUGAUAGGCCGGGUGUGUAAGCGCAGCGAUGCGUUGAGCUAACCGGUACUAAUGAACCGUGAGGCUUAACCUU